AUUGAACGCUGGCGGCAGGCCUAACACAUGCAAGUCGAGCGAGCGGCGGACGGGUGAGUAAUGUAUGGGGACUGCCCGAUAGAGGGGGAUAACUACUGGAAACGGUAGCUAAUACCGCAUACUAUCGGAUAACCCAUAUGGGUUUAGCUAGUAGGUGCGGUAAUGGCUCACGUAGGCGACGAUCCCUAGCUGGUCUGAGAGGAUGAUCAGCGACACUGUGACUGAGACACGGCCCAGACGCCUACGGAGGCAGCAGUGGGGAAGAUUGCACAAUGGGCGCAAGCCUGAUGCAGCCAUGCGGCGGGGAUGAAGAAGGCCCUAGGGUUGUAAAGUACUUUCAGUCGGGAGGCGUUACCGACAGAAGAAGCACCGGCUAACUCCGUGCCAGCAGCCGCGGUAAUUC
rnacentral:rRNA from 1 species